CAGUAGCCGCGGUAAUACGUAGGUGGCAAGCGUUGUCCGGAAUUAUUGGGCGUAAAGCGAGCGCAGGCGGUCAAUUAAGUCUGAUGUGAAAGCCCCCGGCUCAACCGGGGAGGGUCAUUGGAAACUGGUUGACCUGAGUGCAGAAGAGGAGAGUGGAAUUCCAUGUGUAGCGGUGAAAUGCGUAGAUAUAUGGAGGAACACCGGUGGCGAAAGCGGCUCUCUGGCUUGUAACUGACGCUGAGGAGCGAAAGCAUGGGUAGCGAACAGGAUUAGAUACCCCCGUAGUCCCUGUCUCUUAUAC
rnacentral:rRNA from 1 species